GACGAACGCUGGCGGCGUGCUUAACACAUGCAAGUCGAACGGAAAGGCCCUGCGUUUGUGGGGUGCUCGAGUGGCGAACGGGUGAGUAACACGUGAGUAACCUGCUCUUGACUUUGGGAUAACUUCAGGAAACUGGGGCUACUACCGUAUAGGAUCUCCUGCUGCAUGGAGGGGGUUGGAUAGUUUCGGCGGUUGGGGAUGGACUGGCGGCUUAUCAGCUUGUUGGUGGGGUGGUGGCUUACCAAGGCUUGGACGGGUAGCCGGCCUGUGAGGGUGACCGGCCACAUGGGGACUGAGAGACGGACCAGACGCGUACGGGAGGCAGAAGUGGGGAAUAUUGCACAAUGGGCGGAAGCCUGAGGCAGCAACGCCGCGUGCGGGAUGACGGCCUGCGGGUUGUAAACCGCUUUCGCCUGUGACGAAGCGUGAGUGACGGUAAUGGGUAAAGAAGCACCGGCUAACUACGUG
rnacentral:rRNA from 1 species